rnacentral:rRNA from 1 species
UGCGCAGGCGGUUGUAUAAGUCAGAUGUGAAAUCCCCGGGCUUAACCUGGGAACUGCAUUUGAGACUGUACGGCUAGAGUGUAGCAGAGGGGGGUGGAAUUCCACGUGUAGCAGUGAAAUGCGUAGAGAUGUGGAGGAACACCGAUGGCGAAGGCAGCCCCCUGGGCUACUACUGACGCUCAUGCACGAAAGCGUGGGGAGCAAACAG